GGCCCCGAAAUGACAAAUGAGGAGGGGUCGGAGGGGUCCUGAUCCCGAAAUCCUGGACUUGAAAAUAUGAAAUCCCGUGGCCCCGAAUUUAGAAAAAAUAAAUCCCGGCAUUCCGAAAUUCAAAAGAAGAAUUCCAGGAUCCCGAAAGGGUCAAUCCCGAAAUCCCGAGCUGAAAAAUAUCCGAUCCCGAUGUCCCGAAAAAGGUCCUGUCCCCUCACAAAUGUAAAACAAUUCAAACGAGACAACAAACGUCAGUAUUCAUGUAAAAAAAUGAACGAAAAACAAAUAUGUCACACAUCAACGAACGACAACCACUUAAUUACAGGCUCCUGACUUUGGAGAGACACAUGCAUACAUAAUAUUGCGGGUCAUCACAUGUAAGAGGAAAUCAAAC
rnacentral:lncRNA from 1 species